rnacentral:lncRNA from 1 species
AUGGUGAGUGUUAAAAAUAUAGAGGUGAUAUAGGCUUUUGAAGGCAUCCGAGAAAGAAGAAAAAAAAUACGAGAGCUAGGGAAAUAGAGAGAGACAAUAGAAUCAAUAGUUAAGGUUAUGGUUCUUAAGGAAAACUUGUGAAUUAUAUUUUGUUUUUGUAAGGAAACCAUGUGAAUAAAGAGAGAGAGUUUUGAUAUUGAUUUCAUUCUAAGUUUAAGCACUAAGAAAAUGUU